rnacentral:lncRNA from 1 species
UGAUGAUUCCUUGUGCAUUCACAUCAUCUCGCACUGUAGCUAGUCCCAAGACAUACACAUUCAGAACAGAACACUGCAAUACUAUCCAUAUCGGCCCAUCAACACCACACGCAGCCAAGCUGACACUAGGAAUACAAGAGAAAACAUCGGUGAUCCGGCAGAGUCAGUCUAGAUCCAGAUCAGUUUGUCUCAUCUCCUGGAUUCCAUAUCGGCCCAUCUCCAUCUUUGUUGUGCGAACUGGGAAGAUCGACGCUUGUGCUGUGCACCUGAAGUAAGAAGAAAAACUCAGAAAAUGUACAUUGGAGGUGCAGCAAAACGAGACUGCAAGAGAGGAGCGGUUACCAUCUGGAUAAGGGCAGUGAACGUUGCUGCAACCUCACACAUUGGUCUGCGACCAACAGUAACUGAAGUUGUAAUCCCCGUAUCAAUUAUCAGCUCUGGAUGAGAGUGUUUCCCGUCCCGUGUCGAAGCUCGCGCAGCCAGCUCGGUCUGUUGCUCGGCCUCGGGCUGUCCUUCCUGCAUGAGGAAUUAUCCAUGUUAGCUUUGGAUGUUGAGGAAAUAUGGUAAGGUUCAGUAGUCGGGACACAGGUCAAGAUUUACCAGAACUAAUCGAAACUCGACAGAACAAUGCAAACAAUUUGUUGGGUUAACAAAGCUUGAUUCACCACCAUGACUUGCACAAACCUAAGCUUGUACAAUUCAGUCUCCCCAGUUAGGAUUUCAUAUUGGUUCUGCAACCGAGGAGAGACAACAGCUGAGCUUGUCUGUCUGAUCGUUUCCUCGCACAGUACCUGAAUGCACAAUCAGGAACAGAAUUGCUUAAAAUUCAGAUUUAAAAUACAGAACUACAGAUAUAUACCCGCACGGCCGCACACUAGGUGAAUCUGGGAAAUAAUCAAACUGCUAGUGUAUUUGAACACAACCACAUCUUUUGCCAACAGGGAUGUUAACAAGGGCUUGAAACGCGUUUCGACGGACGUAACUGCUCAGAGAACUGAACCUAAACAGUCAAGUUCGGUUGAUACUUACACAUUUCAGAUUUCAGAGUGCAUGUUCUGGACAACAUUGACGGCGUCGAUGCUGAGACUAUCUCUUUUAUCAGCCUGCAGAGCGGACUGAAUAAUUACCUGCAGAACGGAUUUUCAGAUGUGGGCCUCUUCAUGCCUUCUCCGGUGCCUAUCAAACCCGCAGCCAAGAUGACACUCCGGAUACAAGAAAAAAAAAACACCGGCGAUCCCGCAGAGUCAGUCCAGAUCCAGAUCAUUUUUGUUGCAUCUCCUGGAUUCUAUAUCGCCUAUACUUCAGUCAGAAGAUGUACGUACAUUCAAGGUGCAGAAAAACAUUGACUCAAAGAGAGAAGGGGUGGCUACCAUCUGGAGAAGGGCAGGCAGAGAAUGUUGCUGCAACCUCCCACUUUGACCUGGCACUAGACAGUCCAACUGAAGAUGCUCUUGCAUCCAGCUCGUUCUGCUGCCCAGGUUAAGCUGUGGAAGCAUCUUGUGAGAGGACUAAUCCAUGUUACCUUAGGAAGUUGAGGAAACAAGAAAAGGUUCAUUAGUCUGCAAACAGAUCAGGAUUAGCCAGAACAAACCGAAAACCAGGCAGAAAAAAUGCAAACAAUAUAGUAUUUGGUUAACAAAGCUUGAUUCGGCAAAAAAAAAAAACUGAUGACUUUCGCACACCUAAGCUUUGUCUCCUCAAUUAGGAGGAUCUCCAAUUGGCUCUGCACUGGAGUAGAGACCGGCAACACCUCAACUUGCUUGGUUGAAGGGCUCCGACCUCUUGAGAACCUCGUAUUCUCAUCUCAAGUCAUUGUGCCAAAUGGCAUUUCAACGUCUCCUCGGCACAGCACCUGAAUGUACAGGAAGAAGAUUGCUUAAACUUUGGAUUCAUGCAUACAGAAUUACAUAUACAUACCCGCACACUAGGGGAAUCGGGGAAAUAGUACACCUGCUACUGCUACCAUAUUGAGACAAAACCACAACUUUUGCCAACGGGGAUGUUAGCAAGGGCCAAAAACGCGUUACGACAGACAUAACUGCAAGCUGUACAUUAGAGACCACUGCUCAGAGUUUCAGUUUUCAGUUUGAUACUUACUUACACUUUUCAGUUUUCAGAGUCUACGUAUCUCUGAAAUUAACGCGACGGAGCACACAGAUUAACUAAUUAGAGAUUAUCUACUCAUUGGUAAAGCAUAACUAAUUAACGCGACGGAGCACACAGAUCAAGUAUGAACAGACACCAACGGAUGCAUCCUUUGAAAUAAUUCCGAGGUCAUCACGAAUAUUGCAAAAGCAUGUGCAAAUAAAGACAUAAGUAACUAAGAGGAACAAAUCUUUACUUUUGGGAAUUGCAUAC